GAAGAAAAUAUUUUUUUCACUGCUGGUUCGUGAGAUUUCCUGUGGAGCGUUACACUAUCCUCUAUUUUGAAAUGAGGAGGAAAGGACCACCCACUCUGGAGUAUGUAAGGGAUGGCAGUUGUCUUUGAGAUGGAGCAGACUGGUCACUCAGAAUCCACAAAGAGGAAGUGGAGCCUGUGCUAUUUUCUCUCCAGUGCAGCGGGGCUGCUCUUCUUCCUCUAGUUGCUUAUUGGGCUUAUUGCCUUCCUCACUUGGAAAGACUGUGUGACUGGAGAAGCAGGCUGUCAUGUCUUGGGAAGAGCUAUGUUUUAGCCAUAGAAAAAUGGAGGACUUUCAGAGACUUCAAAGCUGAAUAG
rnacentral:lncRNA from 1 species